GCUGGGUGUGGUGGUGUGUGCCUGUAGUCUCAGCUACUCAGGAGGCUGAGGUGGGAGGAUCACUUGAGCCUGGGAGGUCAGGGAUGCAUGGGGCCAAGAUGGCACCACUGCACUCCAGCCUGGGCCACAGAGUGAGACCCUGUCUCUU
rfam:Gorilla gorilla gorilla genomic chromosome, chr3, whole genome shotgun sequence